CCUACGGGGGGCAGCAGUGGGGAAUAUUGCACAAUGGGCGCAAGCCUGAUGCAGCCAUGCCGCGUGUGUGAAGAAGGCCUUCGGGUUGUAAAGCACUUUCAGCGGGGAGGAAGGCGUUAAGGUUAAUAACCUUGUCGAUUGACGUUACCCGCAGAAGAAGCACCGGCUAACUCCGUGCCAGCAGCCGCGGUAAUACGGAGGGUGCAAGCGUUAAUCGGAAUUACUGGGCGUAAAGCGCACGCAGGCGGUCUGUCAAGUCGGAUGUGAAAUCCCCGGGCUCAACCUGGGAACUGCAUUCGAAACUGGCAGGCUAGAGUCUUGUAGAGGGGGGUAGAAUUCCAGGUGUAGCGGUGAAAUGCGUAGAGAUCUGGAGGAAUACCGGUGGCGAAGGCGGCCCCCUGGACAAAGACUGACGCUCAGGUGCGAAAGCGUGGGGAGCAAACAGGAUUAGAUACCCGAAUAGUC
rnacentral:rRNA from 1 species